rnacentral:rRNA from 1 species
CCAGACUCCUACGGGAGGCAGCAGUGGGGGAUAUUGCACAAUGGGGGAAACCCUGAUGCAGCGACGCCGCGUGGGUGAAGAAGCGCCUCGGCGCGUAAAGCCCUGUCAGCAGGGAAGAAAAUGACGGUACCUGAAGAAGAAGCCCCGGCUAACUACGUGCCAGCAGCCGCGGUAAUACGUAGGGGGCAAGCGUUAUCCGGAUUUAUUGGGUGUAAAGGGUGCGUAGACGGGAAAUUAAGUUAGUUGUGAAAUCCCUCGGCUCAACUGAGGAACUGCAACUAAAACUGGUUUUCUUGAGUGUUGGAGAGGAAAGCGGAAUUCCUAGUGUAGCGGUGAGAUGCGUAGAUAUUAGGAGGAACACCAGUGGCGAAGGCGACUUUCUGGACUGUACCUGACGCUGAGGCGCGAAAGCGUGGGUAGCGAACGGGAUUAGAUACCCCUGUAGA